GGGCAACCGGGUGCCACAGGGCAACCAGGCCCCAAGGUAUGGGAUGGGUGGGCAGUCAAGGCCCCCCAUGCCUCAGGCUCAGCCAGUCCCUCCCAGUUCUUCCCAGUUGAGUUUGUUCUGGGGCCUGAGUCUCAUUCACUCUGUCCUAGGGCGAUGUGGGCCAGGACGGGGCCCCCGGGAUCCCUGGAGAAAAGGGCCUCCCUGGUCUGCAAGGCCCUCCAGGAUUCCCUGGGCCAAAGGGCCCCCCUGUGAGUGAGGUCACCCUCAUUGGGGGUUGGGUGGGUGGAGGAUAUGGGAAGGGAUGAAGCCCUGUAUCUGUGCCCCAACUCUUUCCCACCUCAUCCGCAGGGUCACCAAGGUAAAGAUGGGCGACCAGGGCACCCUGGACAGAGAGGAG
rnacentral:lncRNA from 1 species